CUUGCAUUUUCUUGGCAGCAGACAUGAAAUAGACCUUCCAUGAAACCAGAAUAUGAAUCACCCUCUCAACUUGUACAAGGAAAAAUAGAAAAAUAAAAGAAAAAAUGAUGUGAUUGGUGGAAUUCAAACUCAGACCAACGUAUCCACUGCCUUGACUGUAAUAGCUGGCUUCUCAAAUGUAGCUGCCAACCAUGACCAUGUGGUGGCGUUUUGACGCUUUUAAAUCCUGCAGUCUCAAAUUCACAUAGCAGUAUAUGUGAUGUUCUCACCCAAAAAGUUUCAGUUUUGCUCGGAAUGUCUCACAGAAACCUGUGUAUCCACCACUUUUGCUUCAUGUUUUCUCUUACUUCUGCGUUUUGAUCUGGAUGAUCUCGUCUUGGUAUGCUUAACAGUCUGCUCUGAGAUGUUAAUCACUGGCUUUUCAGUAAUAGGAGGUUCAGGAGGAACAUCUGGCCAUGGUGUUCGUUUUGAUAGGACUGUAAUUUCCAAAGGCGGGUCAAUUAUCCAUCCUGGAGGAAAUUUGCUAUCGCUGCGAGCUUCAACACGAAGCCACCAAAGCAAAACUUGUCUCCCACAGCUUCCCAGUGGCUCCGUCACAGAAGGGUCCUUCAACAGAGAUAGAGGACUUUCUAUAUCCGCAUCAACAGAAUCUAAAUCCUUCAUCCAGUCUGGUUUAUCUUCAGUUUCCUUCCAAAGCAACCUAGAAUUCAUCACAAACCCAGCCCAUUCCAGCUGUUGAGGCAGUACAGUUGCCCUAUCAUCGAUAAGGAUUGCACUCUUCCCUUCAUACGGUAGAGAAUUAAAGGUAUGCCAACCAGCCAACUUGUUAGAUGCAUU
rnacentral:misc_RNA from 1 species